AACGAACGCUGGCGGCAUGCCUAACACAUGCAAGUCGAACGAGACCUUCGGGUCUAGUGGCGCACGGGUGCGUAACGCGUGGGAACCUGCCCUUAGGUUCGGAAUAACUCCCCGAAAGGGGUGCUAAUACCGGAUAAUGUCUUCGGACCAAAGAUUUAUCGCCUUUGGAUGGGCCCGCGUUGGAUUAGCUAGUUGGUAGGGUAAAAGCCUACCAAGGCGACGAUCCAUAGCUGGUCUGAGAGGAUGAUCAGCCACACUGGGACUGAGACACGGCCCAGACUCCUACGGGAGGCAGCAGUGGGGAAUAUUGGACAAGGGGCGAAAGCCUGAUCCAGCAAUGCCGCGUGAGUGAUGAAGGCCGGAGGGUUGUAAAGCUCUUUUACCCGGGAUGAUAAUGAGAGUACCGGGAGAAUAAGCUCCGGCUAACUCCG
rnacentral:rRNA from 1 species